CCGUCGACCGAUCCCUCCACGUGCCCGCCUCCCGCACCCGCCCGGCAACCCAGGCCCCACCCUAGGCGCAGCGAUGGGCGACGGUGGCGGCGCUCGCGGGGGCGUCCGCCGGUGACAACAUCGUCUACUAGGACGCCGACGCGCCCAAGAUCCCCGGCUGCUCGAACGACUUCAUGCUCGAAGAGGUUGUCAAGAAGACAAAAUCAGUUGGGAAGCUCAAACAAGAAGCUGAGAAUUGCCUAUAGUAGAGUGAAAGAUUUAACAACGAGAAGGCUGAGUUUGAACAAGCUUCCUUCAGAAAAGGAGGCAGAGGAGCAGACCACGCCCAGGAGAUGGCCGUCGUGGAGAUGACCACACCUAGGAGGACAGGGCGGUAGGAUGACCAGGCCCAGGAGGAGCAGGGCGGCAAAGGUGGGGGCGGAGGUGGAGCUGGGUGGAUUCAAAUCUGGCGGAGGGGUAUCAUUCUGGGUGGAGGGGCAAAAAUGUAAUUUCUUGCGUUUUUCACCUGGUCGGAACAGAUCUUAAACAACAAAUAAAAUCGGAACAAAGGGAGUGGGUUUUACAAGUUGUUUGCAGUUUAGUUCAGUCGAGACAGAGCUCCUCGCCGUGCAGUCCACCUCACACUAAUGGCGCAAUCUCCCUUUCCUUCUCUCCGUGAUCCGCUAUGCAGUCUGCAUGGCCACGCUCCCUUGCGUU